UCCCGGCCCACCUACCGGAGGCAUACGAGCUCGAAAGCCGACGGCGGCGGCGUCAGCACUCGCCGAGGCGGCCGCCAAGAAGAAGACCGUGGCGCCGCCUCGUCCAAAGCCUACGCAUCGUGCGGCAACUCCGGCUGCCCCUACGGCGACUGCUCCGUCACGAGCGGCGGCAACAGCCGGCAACAAAAAACGCGACCGCCGAGUGCUUGAUGAAAUGCCAACAGGGUAAAAACCUCGCAUCCUGUUGGAAUUCGAUAGUGAUUGUUCGUGAUCGGUAGUGAUGGUUUAUAGUGCUUGCUUUGACAUUGUAGAGCGGAGAUGAACACGGCCGAAUUCCUCGCAUCAUUGGAGUCCUCGGCAACCGUUGGCCUUGAUGAUCUCGAACAUUGUGUUUGAAGUGAUGUCUUUUGGGUGAACUUCGCAUGUUUAAAUUUGAAAAACGCGGUGAUGAAACUUUAUGUUAUGACGAUUGUUGCUAUCCAUGCUUUCAUUUGAAUGAUUUUAAGAUAUGCAUUGUGUAGAGAUUGUGUUUGUGCGGCUAGUAUGCAAAACGGCCACAAAUUUGAUUUUACUCUUCUAACUAUGGGGGAUCGGCUAGGUGCAGCCACCGUAAGUGGAAUAAAAUUUUACUCCACUAACUUUACUUUUACUCCACUAACUUUUAGGGGAUCAGUUAGAAACGCCCUUACGCGCCGUCCAAGCGUCAUAAUUUUUGUGUUAUACACUCCUAGAUAUAGCAAUUUUUUGAGUUGAAUUUGAUACACUGUUGUUGCCCCACAUGACACAUCAUAUGCUGUGUACCUAAUUUUUUCAAAAGUAUGCGGCAUGCUAUGAAUCAACACAUUUUGUAGCCUGUAACACAAUAUACUUCCUCCUUGGUAAAACCAAUUAUACUUCAUCCUAUUGUCAUUUCAAGGCUGUUAUCACAGAGAUAUUUUUUUGCGGUGGCACAGAAAUUAAUAAUUGAUUGAAUGACCAGUUUAACCUUGUGCGAGAUGUUUAGCCCUAGAGACUAUGUUGACGCUAUCGAUUGAUGACUUGUUGGGUCAAAUUAUCAAAACACUGUUGUAGAUUUUUCUUGACAAGGUGGGAUUACUGUUGUUAGGAAGUAUUAUAUUAGUCUAGGAGUCCUUAUUAGUCUAUUAGUAUUAGUCUAGGAGUCCUUAUUAGUCUACGUUUACUUUCCUUGCACCUCAAGUCAUGUGUAAUAUAUAUAUGUCCCUUGGACCUUCAAUACAGAUAAGUUGCUUUCCUAACAUGGUAUUAGAGCUUAGGUUAUUUUUUUCAGGCGCCGCAACUCGCCCUCCCGAUCCAAUCUUCGAUUGCGCCGCUUUCUCUCGCUGGCCGCUUUCUCUAUUGCGCCUCAUCAAGCGACUCGCGGCCGUGAACCUCUCUGAUCUCCAUCCACGCCGUCCUGGCGCUCCUGGCCGCUGGCGCCGGUGGGAAGACCCUGGAAGAGAUCCUCCGCAUCCUAGGCGUGCGGUCCAACCUCGAGCUACAGGACUCCGUGGCAGGUCUCCUGGACGGAUCCUCGAAUCCUGACGGCGGCGGGCCGAGCAUGGCGUUCGCGUGCGGCAUAUGGAGCGACCUGACGCGGCCGCUGAAGCCGGCCUUCCGUGACGCCGUCUCCCUCCAGAUCUCCCGCAGGCGGCCCCUACCACCGCGUCUCCAGCCGCCGCCGCGCGUCCUCCCCCGCGUCUCCAGCCGCCGCGUCUCUAGCCGCCGCCGCCCCUAGCCGCCGCCAGAUCAGAUCUCGAUCCCGUCUGCGGAUCGAUCUCAUGCUCUGCUAUUGGAUGCUGGCGCCCCGUCACCUCCCUCUCCAAAUCUCCAGGAUCCAUUGUCCAUGGCUGUGCCCACCUGAUCUGCCCGUCGGUCUGCUGCGUUCACCCGUCAGCCAAGUCUCCUGCAAGCCAGUCCCUGCUGUCAGCCUCCAGAUCGAGCCACAACAGCUUGUCCAACAACCGCAGCCUCUCAGAUCGGUCUGCACGGACAUCUUGCCACAUCGAAGCUCACCUCAGGCCGCUGCCUGUAAGUCCGCUCGUGGGAUCCAGCCGCCGCCCAUGCAAGCUACUUGCUUGGUAGCUUCUGGUGGUCCGCGUGCCUGCUGCUGUGUUGAUACAGCUCUACAUGGGUUUGUUACGCAUUGCUUGCAUGGCUGCGUGUUGUCCCAUGUGCAGCUUUCCUCCUGCUAUCCUGUGUUGCUUGCCUACAUGCUUGCUGGCGCUUUUCUAUAAGCUACUACCGCUGCUCACAUGCUGAUGCUUGCUAUCGCAUCUAGUUUCGUAUAUGCUUUUCAGUUUUUUUUCCGCCGCGUCCACCAAAUCCGUUCAUAUUUUGUGUUUUCUCAUGCCAUGCGAGUCCAUCAUACCUUAGUCCGUCAGUCUUUCUCCGGUCCUGAUCCUUUCUAUACAACUUUUGUGGCUUAUUUGCCCUUGUUGUUUUCUAUAGGAUUUUCUGGACUUCUUUUGCAUUGUCGAUCUACGUCCAUCGUGCCUUAUCCGUCGAGCUUCUUUCGCCGACGGUUGUCGUGGACUAUGAUUUUCUGCACAAUGCUUUAUUCUCUUGAUGCGUCAUCUUUUUUUAACAACCCAUCUUCUCUUGAUACUUAUGUUGUAUCUUCAAGUGAUGCGGUGUCUUCCUCUCGAUGUGCCAUCUUCUUUUGACAACACAUCUUCUCUUGAUACUUAUCUUGUAUCUUCAAGUGAUGCGGUGUCUACCUCUGAUGUGCCAUCUCUUUGUUCUCUCCUUCGGCGACUCGACAAGUUUUGAAGACUCUUCAUGCUACGACGACACUCUCAAGGCGCGGAUUUGGAUUAUCAUAUUUUUUUUAAUAUUACACUUCUUCAAAUGCAAUGCUAUUGCAUACGCUUUGCAUUUGAGGGGGGGGGGUGUUAGGAAGUAUUAGUAUUAGUCUAGGAGUCCUUAUUAGUCUAUUAGUAUUAGUCUAGGAGUCCUUAUUAGUCUACAUUUACUUUCCUUGCAUCUCAAGUCAUGUGUAAUAUAUAUAUGUUCCUUGGACCUUCAAUACAGAUAAGUUGUUUUCCUAACAACUGUAACACGAAACAAAUGGAGUCUAUACUACUUACAGUAUGAAAUGGAAGUAGAGAAAAUCUCAAAUCUAUGAUGACGCUAAUGAUUGAUGACUGUUGGGUCAAAUUAUCAAAACACUGCUGUAAUUUUUUCUUGACAAGGUGGAAUCACUACACAAUGAAACAGAGCCUAUACUACUUACAGUAUGAAUGGAAGAAGUAUCUUCAGCAGUGCGGUGUUGUCCACAUGCAUAUGAGAUGUUAUGUUUCAUGGUCAGUAGUGCGGUGUUGUCCACAUACAUAUGAGGUGUUGUGUUUCAUGGUCAGUAUUGUUUAACGUUUUUGGCUCACAUUAUCCAGGAUACCGUAAGCCUGCUCUCUCUCUCUCUCCCCUGUCACAUCCAUAUGAGGUUUUGUGCUACCUCCUUGCUUCCAUGUCUAAAAGUUAUACAAAAUUUCAAGACCAAUUCGACCUCAGUUUGAAG
rnacentral:lncRNA from 1 species